rnacentral:rRNA from 1 species
CCUACGGUGGCAGCAGUGGGGAAUAUUGGACAAUGGGCGAAAGCCUGAUCCAGCCAUGCCGCGUGUGUGAAGAAGGCCUUCGGGUUGUAAAGCACUUUCAGUGGGGAAGAAAGCCUUGGGGCUAAUACCCUCGAGGAAGGACAUCACCCACAGAAGAAGCACCGGCUAACUCCGUGCCAGCAGCCGCGGUAAUACGGAGGGUGCGAGCGUUAAUCGGAAUUACUGGGCGUAAAGCGCGCGUAGGCGGUCUGAUAAGCCGGUUGUGAAAGCCCCGGGCUCAACCUGGGAAUGGCAUCCGGAACUGUCAGGCUAGAGGGCAGGAGAGGAAGGUAGAAUUCCCGGUGUAGCGGUGAAAUGCGUAGAGAUCGGGAGGAAUACCAGUGGCGAAGGCGGCCUUCUGGACUGACACUGACGCUGAGGUGCGAAAGCGUGGGUAGCAAACAGGAUUAGAUACCCCGGUAGUC